ensembl:lncRNA
GUGAAGCAUCGAUACAGCUGUGAAGUUUGACCCUGCAACAGAUGUGUCCACUAGGGGGUCCUAGGAGUAUCACCUUCAUAAUCCCCCCCGAUCUUUGCAUAGAGCGUACGUAGACAGCUCUUUUGAUUAGGCUUCCACGCGCGACUUCGGAGGGAUGAGCGGUGGACAGCUCGAGCAGGAGGAGCGUCUCGCGGUUUACCCAUUACAGGCGGGAGGAGAGCAGACGAUUGCCCUCGUUGCAUUUUGAACGACCGUAGCACAACAGAUGUAGCAGACACCACAGUUCGGUCUUCCGUUUCUGUAGCCAACCUUCCGCGCCGCGUGCGUGUGGCGGGUUAUUCGGUCCGAAUCAGCGCGCACAGUUUAAGCCAUUUACGUGUAUCAGAUUUCAGGAGAAUUGUCCGGAUGUCAUCUCUAGUAGUAGUAUUUUUUUCUCCCGGUAAAGGGGGUUUAAGUCGCGCCGUAUUGCCUCGCGUUCUCUGUGGAUGUGUGACCGAUGGGGUUCCCGAUGCUCGUCAUUUACCACGAAGGACCGAGCGUGAUGCACACCGCCUGUUUGGGAUCGAACCCCCACGUGAACCUCUCCAUUAAGCCGGGAUUUUAAUUUAAAAUCCUGUAACACACAUUGAACUGUACCUGCUGAUGAGUAGGAGACAUCGCGAGGAAAAAGGGCGUCAUGUGGGACCAUGCAAGCUGAGAUCAAGUUAGAAGAACACGACAGAAUAGAAUAGAGACCCAGAGAGAACAACAACAGUGACCAGACAAGACAGCACUAGAGAACAGAGAGGAGAACACUAGAGACCCAGCCAGUAAAACAUUAGAGACCCAGAGAGGACAACACUAGAGACCCAGAGAGGACAACACUAGAGACCCAGAGAGGACAACAAUAGAGACCCAGAGAGGACAACAAUAGAGCCAGUAAAACACUCAUGACCCAGAGAGGACAGCACUAGAGACCAGAGAGGACAGCACGAGAGACACAGCCAGUAAAACAAUAGAGACCCAGGGAGGACCACAUUAGAGAAAGGACAACAAUAGAGACCAGAGAGGACCACACUAGAGACUAGAGAGGACAACACUAGAGAGGACAGCACCAGAGACAAGAGAAGACAACACUAGAGUCAAAGAAAGGACAACAAUAGAGAACAGAGAGGAGAACUCUAGAGACCCAGCCAGUAAAACACUAGAGUCCCAGAGAGGACAGCACUAGAGUCCCAGAGAGGACAACAAUAGAGACCCAGAGAGGAAAACAAUAGAGACUAAGAGAGGUCAACAAUAGAGACCCAGAGAGGACAACAAUAAAGACUAAGAGAGGACAACAAUAGAGACUAAGAGAGGACAACAAUAGAGACUAAGAGAGGACAGCACUAGAGACCAGAGAGGACAACAAUAGAGACCCAGAGAGGAAAACACUAGAGACACAGAGAGGACAACACUAGAGAGGGCAGCACUAGAGACACAGAGAGGACAGCACUAGAGACACAGAGAGGACAGCACUAGAGACCAGAGAGGACAGCACUAGAGACACAGAGAGGACAGCACUAGAGACCAGAGAGGACAGCACUAGAGAGGGCAGCACUAGAGACACAGAGAGGACAGCACUAGAGACCAGAGAGGACAGCACUAGAGACACAGAGAGGACAGCACUAGAGACCAGAGAGGACAGCACUAGAGACACAGAUAGGACAACACUAGAGAGGACAACACUAGAGACUAGAGAGGACAACACUAGAGACCUAGGGAGAUAACAGUAGAGAGACAACACUAGAGACUAGAGAGAACAACACUAGAGACCCAGAGAGAACAACACCCAGAGACCCAGGAAGGGCAUCCCAAGGAGGUGGUUGUUGGGCGUGGAGCACCACCAUGGUGAUCAGCGACCGGAACACCCCGGUCCCCAAGAAGGGCUCGACCCCGACGGAGGCCAGGAGGCGGCGGACGUCCCGGCCCCAAGGCCUGCCCUCCCCGGCGCUGUGCUGCGCCUGCGGCCUGUGCAUCAUGCUGGCGGGCAUGAACAUCACCCUGGUGGGGGCCUUCGCCUUCAGCACUCUGCUGCCGUCCGGGAACCCGCCCAUCAUCAUCGGCCCCAUCCUGCUGCUGGUGGCCUUCUCCUUCUUCGGGGCGUGCUGCGUGUGCAGCCGCCUGCCCCCCGCCCAGGGCUCGCUGCGGGCCAAGGUGGGCGGGGGCCGGGGGGCCGGGCUGAUGGGGGCCGGCGGGCUGACCGGCGGCGCCACCUUCGAGAUCGAGACAAGCGAGCACACGCUGCAGGACACCACGGCGGUGCAGCUCAGCCCCACCUCCUCGCCGGGCUCCUCCCCCCGCGCCUCCAGCCCCGCGGAGGGGGAGGGGCCGGCCGACUAUAAGGUGUUCACCACCGAGGCUUGGAAAUCGACGGGAAGCAGUUGGAGGGACGGUCUCUGCAGGACAACACAGGUGUUAUCAGCAUCAGCAUUCUUACUUAUGGGAUUUGUAUUUAUUUAUUCUUCCUUUAUGUCACAGUGUAGCACUAGCGUCAAGCUAUCUCAAUGAAACAUCUGAGUGUUUCGAUCUCUCUUGGUGUUGUUUUCUUUGAGCACUGUCCCCACAUGUCUAAGUAAGCCCUUCCAGCAGCAUGCAAUUGCAGAACGUGUCUUAAACCAUGCCAUGCAUUUCCCAUCGAUUGGCAAAAAAAACAAAACAAAGUCCCCAAGGGGAGUUCCAGGAGAACUGCUAGACGUAUGGCCUCGGACUACCCCGUUAAGUCACAUCGCCACUGAUUGGUUCAAAGAUUAGCUGCCAAGCCGCCGGUGAUGAAGACCUGAGCUGAAAGGCGUAGUGGUGACAUUUAGCUUUUUAGAUUUAGGAGGGAAGGGAGGAGGGGGGGUGCGAGUCGCAGACAGUGAAAAUAACAGAAUAGGGUCACUGGGAUCUCAAAGCAAUAUUACCCAACCAGACGUGAGCAUCGACAGAGAAGCUCGGAGCUGAAACCGAUGACAUUUAAAAGUUAUUCUCUCUUAUGAACUCAUGCCAUGUGUCGUUCGAUGGGGGACAUUCGAUGUGUGUCCGAAUUCCUACAUAACACAAAUAGAUUGUGAAGCACGUUGUGGUGUGUGUAGGCUUACUAUGUUUUUGUUGUCACUGUGUCCAGGUUGGUCAUUGUGGAUUCCACUGUAUUUUCACUCAUGAAAGGCACACAUUUGAAUGUCACAUAACUAACUAUAUGUGCCACUUUUUGGAAUAUAUAUAUUUGAUGAAGACAUUGUAGCAGUUGGUGCCACAGCCCAUGUGUUAUUCUGACCGACAGGGAGACAGAUUCCCCAUCUAUAGCUCACUGUGUGUUCUACCAUUGCCAAUCUAUGAAGUACAUCCCUUUGUCACGUGUGCAUGGUGUGUAUCUCGCUAAUGCCCCCGGUGUAGUCGGGAAAAACCCAAUGUUAAAGCCUUAGCACUGGGAAAUGGGCACAGCCAUCCACCCAUCCGUCCAUCCAUCAAUACAUAUCUGUGAGGAAGCAGAGCUUGAUUUGAGGGGGAGUGACAAGCAGGAGCUAAGUCCAAGACUAUACAGCAUGUGGGUGCCAAGCCAUGACAUCCAAUGCAGCGAUAGGAAGCCAGAUUCUGUGACUGAUGGCAUAUGCAGUAUCAGGACGCCUUUCUCUCGGAUGUUUCCUUAUCAGCUCAUAAGCCUGAUUGGCUAAGAAAAAAGACAUCCUAUGCCUGAUUUGCCUGUGAAAUGAAAAUUGCCUUAGAACUGAGAGAUCAGGAUAUCGAGGGCUAUAUUACCGGGUGUAAUGACAUUUUCACUCUCUGGCUCUGGUGUUUUCAGUCUUGCUGGGAUAAUGGCAGAUAUCGGAAGAUUAAUAUAAUGAUGGAGAAACAAUGCGAAAAGCAUGUAUUUUUUAAGCUCAGUAAUUGGACCAUUAGCUUUUGCCCAACACCAGUGUCCUACUUCUCCAGUGUAGGAGUGGGAAAUAUACAAUGAAACUGUGCAAUUUAUGACUUUGUAUGUCGUCCUGCUAUGCUUAAUGAUUUACUGUGUAUUUUGUGUAUAUUGUUUAUUUUAUUAUGUACAUCAAAGUGUCUGAAGAAACGACUGAAAGUUUCCAUAUUUUUGUGCAAAUUUCAAUUUGAAAAAAAAUAAGAAAAUAUUUCAAACAGUGUUAACCUUUUAAAAGAUCAAUAAAGCCUCUUACAGAUCAGCUGAUCAUUUGUGUCUGCAUGCAUACUUAAACACAUGCUAUUUUCCCAUCACAAACAUGGAAUGUAAUGUUAGGUUCAUAAUACUGGGCCGGACAUUAAAAAGUGCCUCCAUCAGCACUAAACAUAAAAAAAUAAGAAAAAUAAAGACUGAUCUGUAAUGGACCAAACAGUUAGACACAGGGCCACAGGUAAAAAAAAUAAAAUGCAUAUUUUCCU